GACGAACGCUGGCGGCGUGCCUAAUACAUGCAAGUUGAGCGCUGAAGGUUGGUACUUGUACCAACUGGAUGAGCAGCGAACGGGUGAGUAACGCGUGGGGAAUCUGCCUUUGAGCGGGGGACAACAUUUGGAAACGAAUGCUAAUACCGCAUAAAAACUUUAAACACAAGUUUUAAGUUUGAAAGAUGCAAUUGCAUCACUCAAAGAUGAUCCCGCGUUGUAUUAGCUAGUUGGUGAGGUAAAGGCUCACCAAGGUGAGGAUACAUAGCCGACCUGGGAGGGGGAUCGGCCACAUUGGGACUGAGACACGGCCCAAACGCCUACGGGAGGCAGCAGUAGGGAAUCUUCGGCAAUGGACGAAAGUCUGACCGAGCAACGCCGCGUGAGUGAAGAAGGUUUUCGGAUCGUAAAAAUCUGUUGGUAGAGAAGAACGUUGGUGAGAGUGGAAAGCUCAUCAAGUGACGGUAACUACCCAGAAAGGGACGGCUAACUACGUG
rnacentral:rRNA from 1 species